GACGGGGGGUCCUAGCGUUGUUCGGAAUUAUUGGGCGUAAAGCGUGUGCAGGUUGUUUGAAAAGUUGGAUGUGAAAUCCUUGGGCUUAACCCAAGACGUGCAUUCAAAACUGCCAAACUUGAGUAUGGAAGAGGAUCGUGGAAUUCCUAGUGUAGUGGUGAAAUACGUAGAUAUUAGGAGGAACACCGGUGGCGAAGGCGGCGAUCUGGUCCAAUACUGACACUCAUACACGAAAGCGUGGGGAUCAAACAGG
rnacentral:rRNA from 1 species